GGGCACGAGAAUUCAUAGAAAAGCUGAGGGAGCUGAGGUUAUUACAAAAUCUCAACUCUGGUUCCCUGUGCCUGAGAAAAACGGCCUAAACAAAGCACAGGUGAGGGUUUGUGGUGGCCUCCCGUCUGGGGAUCCAAGGCAUUCUGCCUCCUUGGAAGUUCUUGGCCUCUCGGCACUCCCAGUCGAUGGAGGUGUUGUCAGUGGACAAAGAUGAACAUUCCAGAAGAAAAGGCUUGAAACCAGCAGGCAUCAGAGAGAGCUCACAGCUGCUAAGAAGCUGGAGGCAUCCGGGCUGGUCUCUGCCCACCCCCACAACUGUUAGGCCACAGAUGCGGCAGGCAGGGCUGAGCAGCCCGGGUGGGGAGAAAGGGCAGAAGAGGAUUAUGGGAGGUCCCUGGGGAAACCUCAGGCAGAUUGAGGACGUUGCCCCCCACCAGCCCCCUCUCCAGGCUCAGAGGCGGUCAGAGUAGAGGCACACAGUGCUUGUCUGGGGCAGGUGGGCUUUAGCGCACACACUUUCAGGCCUUCAUUAAGAUUCAUCCUCCCCCGUGACCUGUCUCCUGGGUCCUGACCUGCAGCCCAGGGGUAGGGGGGGUUCCCCUUCUGUGGGGCUGCCCCAAGGCCCUUGCUGAGAGGCUAGGCACACCAGGCCUGUGUUAAGACUUGCCAAACUGCACCAGGAUCGCAGUAUCCAUUGUGGGAGGCGGAGAUUUUGCCCAGAUAAUUCUCUCUCCUUUCCAGCCCCAAUCCUAGCCCUGGCCUGGAGCCUUCCAGCCCCUACAGGCUGGGGUAGGAGAUGGGAUGGGUGGUACUGCCUGAAGGCAGAGAGGCCUACAGGUUGGUCCCCAGACCCCUAACGCCCUCGUGGUCUCUGGCUUGGGAAAGCCACGUAUGAAUAAACAUAGCUCAAUGAUACCAUCCAACAUGAGGCCAAUUCUUCCUUGAAGUCACCAAGUGAAGUUACUGUCUUGCUUGUUCGCAGGCCUUCUACCUCCUUUGGGCAUCACCCUGAUCUAGAGGCUCCGCAUGAAAGCGGGACAGCCUUGCUGCUCUACUCUUCUUACCCAGCCCAUCGCAGGCUGAUCCAGAAUGCUGUGCUUUCAAAUACCUGUCUUCUAGGGGCCCCAAGGGGGUCCUGGGCUCCCUUUAUAGGUGCAAAGAUGCCAUGGGACCUGGAGGGACCUGGAGUUUGGAGUUGGGUGAGAAUGUGGAGGAACUAUGCUGCUUUCAUAGGGUAGGGGAUGCAAGUUCUGGUCGACAUCAGCCCUGUACCCAGGAAAGACUCCACAGCCAUGGAACUCCAAGCAGACCUGGCUUUGAAUCACCACCUACCACCUGUGCGACCUUGGGCAUGCUGCCAAGCUCUCUGAGCCUCAGAAGCCCAUCUGUCAGGCACAAAAGUGCCUAACUCAUAGGAGUGCUCUUGAGGGUCAAUGGGGGUAGUGUUUAUUUGAGGCACUGGUCUGAGGGCCUGGUGCACAGUGGCAGUGAGGGUCCCAGUCACCUCUCAUUCUUUGGGAGCCCCUAGGAUUCCACUCCCCUCCUGAGUAAUUGUGGCUUCAUCCCAUAGGCAGCAAGAGCUGGGGACCAGUGAACUUCUCCUCAGCCCCUCAGUCCAGUGAGCACUCUCGGUGGUGAGGAGAGGGAUGGGAAGAACUGCAGGGGUCUGGUGACUGAGAGCUUUGGGGCAUCACUCCAUCUGCCUUGGUCACUAUGCACAGCCCCUCCCCCCCAUCCCCAUUCUUCUCUGGAGGUGGCAGCCCCAAGCCCACCUGUGGGGCCUCACUGUCACCCUGCCCCCUGCCCUGUGCCCUGUGUGGGCACAAGUUCCUUGUCCCAGGACCUCAGGCUGCUAUGAGCAAGGGGCAGACGGAGGCCAGGGCCCGGCCCCCCAGAUGCCACACAGCCAGGAUUCAUUACCCUUCUUUGGGACCCCACAUUUGUCACUCCCAGGACGGUGGGGCUUGGAGGAAGCUAUCCACAUGUCCUCCUUUCUGCUCCAGAUGGGGCAAGGAGUUUAAGUUAGAUAAACAGAGAUGAACAAAUGCUAAACUUGGAGUUCCAGCUGUGGCGCCUGGUGGGUCAAUGAUCUGGCGCAUCUCCGUGGCAUUGCUGGUUCUACCCCUGGCCCAGCACAGUGGGUUAAGGAGCUGGCAUUGCCCCAGCUGUGGUGUAGGACUCAGACGAGGCUCAGAUUUGAUCCCUGGCCCAGGAGCUUCCAAUAUGGCCAAGGGUGCGGCCAAAAAAGAAAAAAAAAAAAAA
rnacentral:lncRNA from 1 species